rnacentral:rRNA from 1 species
UGCCGGCGACCGGCGGACGGGUGCGUAACGCGUAUGUAACCUACCUUUGACAGGGGGAUAACAUCGAGAAAUUGGUACUAAUACCCCAUAACAUCACCGGAGGCAUCUUCGGUGGUUGAAAACUCAGGUGGUCAGAGAUGGACAUGCGUUGUAUUAGCUAGUUGGUGAGGUAACGGCUCACCAAGGCGACGAUACAUAGGGGGACUGAGAGGUCAACCCCCCACAUUGGUACUGAGACACGGCCCAAACUCCUACGGGAGGCAGCAG